UACGGAGGGUGCAAGCGUUAUCCGGAAUCACUGGGUUUAAAGGGUGCGUAGGCGGCAUAAUCAGUCAGAGGUGAAAUCCCACAGCUUAACUGUGGCAUUGCCUUUGAUACUGUUGUGCUUGAAACAGGUUGAGGUCGGCGGAAUGUGACAUGUAGCGGUGAAAUGCAUAGAUAUGUCAUAGAACACCAAUUGCGAAGGCAGCUGACUAGGCCUUGUUUGACGCUGAGGCACGAAAGCGUGGGGAGCGAACAGG
rnacentral:rRNA from 1 species